CCGUGCCCAAGAGAUCGGGAUAACACCUGGAAACAGAUGCUAAUACCGGAUAACAACAGAUGAUGCCUAUCAACUGUUUAAAAGAUGGUUCUGCUAUCACUCUUGGAUGGACCUGCGGUGCAUUAGCUAGUUGGUAGGGUAACGGCCUACCAAGGCGAUGAUGCAUAGCCGAGUUGAGAGACUGAUCGGCCACAUUGGGACUGAGACACGGCCCAAACUCCUACGGGAGGCAGCAGAA
rnacentral:rRNA from 1 species